rnacentral:rRNA from 1 species
GAUGAACGCUGGCGGCGUGCCUAAUACAUGCAAGUCGAGCGAAUGGAUUAAGAGCUUGCUCUUAUGAAGUUAGCGGCGGACGGGUGAGUAACACGUGGGUAACCUGCCCAUAAGACUGGGAUAACUCCGGGAAACCGGGGCUAAUACCGGAUAACAUUUUGAACAGCAUGGUUCGAAAGUGAAAGGCGGCUCCGGCUGUCACUUAUGGAUGGACCCGCGUCGCAUUAGCUAGUUGGUGAGGUAACGGCUCACCCAGGCAACGAUGCGUAGCCGACAUGAGAGGGUGAUCGGCCACACUGGGACUGAGACACGGCCCAGACUCCUACGGGAGGCAGCAGUAGGGAAUCUUCCGCAAUGGACGAAAGUCUGACGGAGCAACGCCGCGUGAGUGAUGAAGGCUUUCGGGUCGUAAAACUCUGUUGUUAGGGAAGAACAAGUGCUAGUUGAAUAAGCUGGCACCUUGACGGUACCUAACCAGAAAGCCACGGCUAACUACGUGCCAGCCGCCGCAGUAA